GUCUAUUUCAGUACCAUCCAAUUGUCCUGGUUGUGUGAGGAAGGUUUUAACCCCAACCCCAAAACAACACUCCAGACCAGACACUGCCCUUUCUGCAGAGAUUAAGUGGAUAUGAGCAAGCAGGCAGACUAAUCAAGAAGAGUUCAGGAGAAUUCAGGAAGCCAGAUAUCAGGAAUAUUGACAUAUCACUGUGGCUGGAUACAUGGCAUAGAUGGAAACAUCAGCAGAAGCACCCGACGUUUAAGUGAUAUAAACUGAGGGCAGCUCCACCAAAGUCAACACAGAUCCACCAAAGACAAGAGCUGAUUUCACCAAUAAGAAUAGAAGAUGUAGACCACGGAAGACUGUCCCAAAUUACCACAUAUUUUGAGAUGCAAUUUGGUGGAAAGGCUUUCUCCAAAACAGGGUGCAAGUAGGCUUUUCUGACUUAUAUGAUGCUAGUAUUUGCCCUUGUAACGUUUGUACCAAGUUGCUCCAUGGGAAAUACUCUAAACAUCUCUAACCUCUCACCCCACUCAUCAUCAUGGGAAGGACACUCCUUCCCAUGUAGCCUCAUUUCCAAGCAGCUUCUUUCUUCCUGUGCUUCGUGUCCUGAAACUUCUUCAACCAAACCCAGAAGAACAAAAUUUUCAAGUGUUGAAGAUGCAUUGCCAAAGAGGGCCUCAGUCACUAAAAAAUGAGCCCAAAGAGGCAACCCAGCCAUGUCCUGCUGCAGAGGAGACUAGAGAGGAUGGCAAGAGAGAUGAGGGUGAGCUGGAUGCAGAAAGAGGGAAUGGGCUCUGUUCUCUGCUGGCAGGGCACCUGCAGAGGAUGUGGUGGCAGCCCUCAGACACCACUAAAUGUAGAGCUGCUCCAGAACAGAGUUAGGUACCAAAUGUUUGCAGAUCCCAGAGUAAAUACUGGGGUAGCUAGCCCAUGAAUGCCAUGCUGCCAGGACUGCCCAAACCUGGCACCUCCCGGUGUUUGUUUGCAAGGGGCAGCUUUACCCACACAGGCUGCAAUCACAGCUGGGCACUACAGCUACCCCAUAGAUGCCUUUGGAGCCUACAGGAUUUCAGUAGAUCCUGACUUGUCUGUGGGCCACAGUGCUGGAAGAAAAGUUCAUCAGUAAUAUAUGCUCCCGUUUUAUCUGAACAAGUCCCUUCACAUCCCUCUCUUUGCAUCAGCUUGCUUUCCACAGGGCAUUAUCACGAGUCAGCACAAAGCAGUUUUACUCCUGCCCUGCGUCGCGCUCACAGCGGUGCCUGCAGCCCCUUUGGGCUGGGGGCUUAGAGAGUUCACAAGGGGGAUUCAGGCUCUGGCAAGAAAGACAGCGUUUAAUUUGCUAACAGAGAUCCAAUCUAAACAGCUACAGAUUUUCUGGGCAUUUCUGUGCCUUUCUGAGCCUCUUGUGUUGCAGCGAGAAGCUGUGCUGCCUGUGCAGCAUUUACCCAGGUUUUCCAAGAGGGAAAUGUGCAGCAAAUAAAGGAACUGGGAUGCAAAAGAGUGGCAGCUGCUUUAGGACUGUUGGAGAGGUUCUUUUACAGACAAAUGAACCGUCAAUUUGUAGUAAGACAUUGUUUUCUAAACAUAGGAUGAAAACUGUUAUCUUGCCUGGCUGGUCAUUAGAAGAGAGAUAAUUAUAGUCUCUGUGCGACAGCCGGGCCCAGAACAGGGGCUGCAUUGUCCCAGGUCCCAGCUGAGCUCUAGCACAGGCUCCCCAGGCAGUGCCGGGACAAGGGGGCUCCUUGUGCCCCGGCAAGUUCAAAGGAGGAAUUGAAGUGCUCUAAGUAGGUGUUAAGCACCUAUUUCUCCCUCUGACUCUGGACUUAAAAAUCUCCUCCGCAAGAGAGAGAUGUGGAGGGCAGACCCGUGACUACUGUAGCUGCAUCCUCCCUGGCUUUUUGUACAAUACAUGCUAUGAUUAUUAUUUUCCUUUCAAUUAAAAAAAAAAAAAAUCAAACCCCAAAUCAUCAGUUUUGCAGUUCUGUGUUUCUGUUUUUCAACAUAGAUUAAUGGGAUAUGUAUGAUGGACAGGUUUUUAGAAGGAAGGAUAUGUUAUACGUUCAGUGUCCACUUCCUGAGCCCUGAACAAGAAACCUAAACCUCAGCUGAUGCUGCAGCAGGCUGGGAGUCCUGGUGUGUACCCAGAGCUUUAGGGGGCCAGAACAUCCCUCCAAGGCUGCCAGGAAAUUCCAGACUUUUGUUUUUCAUUACCCAUCCAGAAAAGACAAUGUCACCCCAGCCAGCUGCAGUGGGCCAACACACACCUCAGUGCUCUGGCCCCUGCCCAUGCCAGUCCCACCAUAUAGACAGCCCGUGUCUGCAAGUGCCACAGCACCUUUUUUUCAGGAAUGCAGUCAUAAUUGCAGGUAGUAAGCUAAGCUAUCACCUUUUCUUUCUCAUCUCAUCCAGGUGCCCUAAAUGACUUACCUAUCAACACUUAAACUGAGAGUACGUUCUAAAUUAGAUAUUAGAAAGAAAUUCUUCAUUGUGAGGGUGCUGAGGCACUGCCGCAGCUUGUCCAAAGAAGUUGUGGAUGUCACAUGAAGUAUUUUCUGACUAGAGUUUUAUUUGUGGUUGAGAGAGGAAAAGGAAAAAGUUCAAAAUUCUCCAAGCAGACCAGAUACAGUCAUGUUUUUGAUGUCAUUGUUACAUAAACUUCAGAUUUGUUCUUAGCAAUGUUUUCUAAGAAGCAAUGGCCAGAAAUAAUAAAUAAUUCUGACAUUUCACAUGAAGUAAUUGUCCUGUUUUUUGGCUUUUGUGUUCAGACUGUGGCUCAGGUGGUCCCUUUUUAGAAAUACUCCAAUUAAUUUUGACAAAAAGGAGUGUAAAAAUUAAUUUCCUACUACUUCUGUGAAAGUCAGUAACUGGGUGAAAAGGGAGCACCUUGUUAAUACCUCCUCUAAAGGAAAGUCUUUUGUAGGAUCUCAUCCUUAUUAGACAAAAGAGAACCCACAUGGAGUAUCUUUCUUGCAUUCCAAGUGUGAGGAAUCUUGGUGCAGCUAGUAAAACUGCUUGGUUCAACCAGUCAGUGAUAAGUGCUGUAAUUAUACCGCUAGGGAAAGAAGUGUCUUGCCUUAAGUAAAGGUAGGAGCAAUUAAAGGCCAAGUUAACAACAUAACACUACUAUUACAGGUGGAAACACAGUAUUGGCAGUACAUUCAAAGUUUCUUCUUAAAAAAAUGUCCUGAAUAACUAAAAGACACAAAGUCCUUUUUGUCAUCCCAGUGAGAAUAGCCCCAGCAAUUCAAAGGAUUAAAUAAAACAUGCAAGCAAAAUAAGUUUGUUUAAUAUAAGAUACUUAGUAUUUAAAAAUUAAUGUUUGUAAUGCAAUUAUUUUUGCUUGAGUUAUCUUUGCAUCUCUGAAAGAGAUCAGUCUUAUUGCCAUGACUGUCAUUCAAGUGAUGAGCUGAGAAAAGUCUGAAGAUGGUAACACAGAAAAGCAUAGAUUUUCUUUGACUGUAGACAAAUGCAAAGUGUUUUUAACUUUGGGAUGUAUAUAGGAAAACACAAACUACAAACAUAUACAGCCACAUGGCUUUUCUUAGUAAAAUGUAUUUUAAAAGACAUCUA